rnacentral:rRNA from 1 species
GACGAACGCUGGCGGCGUGCUUAACACAUGCAAGUCGAACGGAAAGGCCCUGCUUUUGUGGGGUGCUCGAGUGGCGAACGGGUGAGUAACACGUGAGUAACCUGCCCUUGACUUUGGGAUAACUUCAGGAAACUGGGGCUAAUACCGGAUAGGAGCUCCUGCUGCAUGGUGGGGGUUGGAAAGUUUCGGCGGUUGGGGAUGGACUCGCGGCUUAUCAGCUUGUUGGUGGGGUAGUGGCUUACCAAGGCUUUGACGGGUAGCCGGCCUGAGAGGGUGACCGGCCACAUUGGGACUGAGAUACGGCCCAGACUCCUACGGGAGGCAGCAGUGGGGAAUAUCGCACAAUGGGCGGAAGCCUGAUGCAGCAACGCCGCGUGCGGGAUGACGGCCUUCGGGUUGUAACCCGCUUUCGCCUGUGACGAAGCGUGAGUGACGGUAAUGGGUAAAGAAGCACCGGCUAACUACGUG